rnacentral:rRNA from 1 species
AGGUGCGAUCAAUCCAGCACUAAAACACCGAAUUCC